rnacentral:tRNA from 1 species
UGGGGUGUAGCUCAGUGGUAGAGGGCUUGCUUAGCAUGUAUGAGGCCCUGGGUUCCAUCCCCAGCAUUGCAG